rnacentral:rRNA from 1 species
AAUAGAUACCCGGGUAGUCCACCCCGUAAACGUUGGGACUAGUUGUGGGGUCCUUUCCACGGAUUCCGUGACGCAGCUAACGCAUUAAGUUCCCCGCCUGGGGAGUACGGCCGCAAGGCUAAAACUCAAAGGAAUUGACGGGGACCCGCACAAGCGGCGGAGCAUGCGGAUUAAUUCGAUGCAACGCGAAGAACCUUACCAAGGCUUGACAUACACCAGAACACCCUAGAAAUAGGGGACUCUUUGGACACUGGUGAACAGGUGGUGCAUGGUUGUCGUCAGCUCGUGUCGUGAGAUGUUGGGUUAAGUCCCGCAACGAGCGCAACCCUCGUUCUAUGUUGCCAGCACGUAAUGGUGGGAACUCAUGGGAUACUGCCGGGGUCAACUCGGAGGAAGGUGGGGAUGACGUCAAAUCAUCAUGCCCCUUAUGUCUUGGGCUUCACGCAUGCUACAAUGGCCGGUACAAAGGGCUGCAAUACCGUGAGGUGGAGCGAAUCCCAAAAAGCCGGUCUCAGUUCGGAUUGGGGUCUGCAACUCGACCCCAUG